rnacentral:rRNA from 1 species
UUAAGCGACUAAGCGUACACGGUGGAUGCCCUGGCAGUCAGAGGCGAUGAAGGACGUGCUAAUCUGCGAUAAGCGUCGGUAAGGUGAUAUGAACCGUUAUAACCGGCGAUUUCCGAAUGGGGAAACCUAGUGUGUUUCGACACACUAUCAUUAACUGAAUCCAUAGGUUAAUGAGGCGAACCGGGGGAACUGAAACA